AUGCACCACUCGUACGCUGCGGUUCUGAGCGCGCCGUCCGCGUCCACUCACGGCCGCUUGCUAUGUUUUUUGUAGCC
rnacentral:sRNA from 1 species